CAGUCGGCUCUUUCUUUAGAUCAGCUUUCCUUGCGACUGUCGCCGAAGGUGAACUGGAUUCCUGGAAUUUUUUUUUUUUUUAUUUAUGACGUCGUUCCAUAUCCUGUGGUGAAUUGAGCAAGGAAGGAAGGAAGGAAGUCUCCAUUUGAUACUGCAGACAUCUCAUUUGAGUGUCGACCGUGGAAUGCUGUGAGUCUCUCUUUCUGAAUGGAGGAGGACAAAUAGGGUGGUAAUCAUUAUGUUUUUUAUUCUACAUUGAUAAAACUUCUAGCGUUUCUUUUUUCCUAACCCUUCAUAAAACCUUUUGCGAAGAUAACCUAAUCUUGAACAAUCGGAUAAAUAAAACUGGUGUAUUAAAGUAUUGUCAGUUUUGUAGGGUAUUGGGAAACUAAUUUUUUCCUUGAUAAGAGUAAACAUAUAUUUUUCCAGUAGAAAAUGUAAUAAUAAUUGUAAAUUACCGGUCGACGUAUUUUACCCAAAUGAGAAAACGCAGACUCUGACCGAGGAAAGAACUUGCCGGAACAGCAAAAAUUCCUUGGACAAAUGACACACACAAGCUGAGAUUUUGUUUUCCACUGCUUGAUGGAAGCGGCCAGGAACUAAUUACAUUAAUUAGUGCUAUAAAAAGGACAGGAUGGGAUUUUUUUUAACUAGACUAUAGAUAUCCUGCCUGGAUUUUCGGUAACUGACUUGGGAAAAGAGAACAAUUUAAACCGAGAAAUCAUUGUUGGAACACUGGUGUGCGGGAUGCUGGGAGUCCAUUCAGUAAAUGGAUUGAUUUGAGAGACACUCUUGUGAGGAAUUCACCGAACACUUCUUUCACACAUUUGUUAUAUUACAUUUGGUGACAGUAUAUAAAAGCAUACAUCUCUGGUGAAUUUUUUUUGAAGAACAUAAUGAACGUCAGAAGCAAGUUUAUUUAAAGAUUUUCCUUGAUAUUAAAUAAUGCAAGGAUGACCUAAAAAUAAUUUACUAGGUAACAGUCUAGAGACUAAACAGAACAAGAAAGAAAAGGAAAACAAAGUUGGAAUGUUAAGAAGAAAGAAGUCCUAUGACAAAUCAGUAAAGGAUACUUUUUUGAAAAUAAGUAGAAAUUAGUUCCAUUUUAUUUCAUAUUUUGUUUUAGCUAAAAUCCAUUCAUAAAUUGGUUUGUAUUGAUGUAUUCAUAUAAUAUUUUUCAAAUUACAGGAAACGCGCGAGAGACCGACCACCUUCCUCGCCCCGGACGGUACGGUGAGUUACUGUGCUAAACAUUAUAUUCUCGAAAUUUGCAGGUAGCAACUUUAGAAGAAAACAUCGCCCUCUAAUUUCUGAAGGUUUCCAGUUUUAAAAGCUUUCGUAUUUUAGUAUUGUAAAAUUCUCAAAAUGGUCGUUCUGUUUCUCGUGAUAAUAGUGUCGUCUCCAUAUUGUAAUAGGCUUGGCCGACAGCCAUUUUUCGUAACAAAAAUUAAACCAUUUCUUUUUAAAUUUUUUUGAUAGAUGUUUGGCGAUUAACAUCACUAGGAUAUGGGAGAGUGACAUAAAGGAGUAUAAUAAUAAUAAUAAUAAUAAUAAUAAUAAUAAUAAUAAUAAUAAUAAUAAUAAUAAUAAUAAUAAUAAUAAUAAUUAAUCUUAUAUAUUAUCUUUUCUAUUUUUCUUAUUACUCGCUUUUCUGGCUCAGCGAUACUUCGCAAUAAUUGGCUAAUAUUCAUAUUGGGAAUAGAACAGAAUUUAUUAGUUUCAAGUGAUCUCUUAUAUUCAGUUCAGCGGCUGCAUUUUUUUUUACGUUAACGUAACGUUCAGUGGUUUUGCUCAGUGAUUCCUCCUCUUGUUGUGAAUUGCCUAACUAUCGUGUUAACGAUUGUUUUUAUUUUGUUUUCGAGUUGGAAUGGAACUGUAGUGCAGUGAGUGGAGGCUGGCGAAGACAGUUCGGGCCUGUAUAAGCUUCUGGACGUACGCUCUUUAGUUGGCAGCCUUCUGGAGAUUUAUAUUACGCCUUUUUGGAGGAAUACUCCGACGGACCUCCCUUGGAAGUGGUUUUCCGUAGAUGUGCUGAGCCAUCUACGGCGUAAGUGCAUUGUGGAGUUUGAUCACGGCUGUGAUAUCGCAGGUUAUCGUCACUUGCGACGCCCCUGUACUCCUGUUUCCCGCCUGAGGAUUUGGCGGAAGACGUGGUCGUCGCUGUCCCGCCACGUAGGAGGCGUUACGGCAACCACUGUCCUGUGUUGUCCAUCUCCAGCUGCUGGUCCAGGAGAGCUUAGGGCUCGUGAGGAGGCUCGUAGGGAGGCAAUUGCCAGAUGCCUACAGUGGAUUAAAUGUCUUCUUGAUAAAAGUACAAAAUAUGUAAAAAAAACUGUUGUAGAGUAUGCAGUCUUCACUUUUCCUGCAAGAACUUUGUGACUCUGGAUUCCUCAAGACUCAAUAAAAAUGCAUGUCCAGAUCAACAGCUUGCAGGUAAUCCAAAUGAUACAUCUGCAGCACCAGCAAUAACAUACAACUCUGA